AUGCUGGAUUCCACAGCACACAAACUAAAAAUUAGAAUGAUACAGAAAAGAUGAGUAUGGCCCCUGAGUAAGGAUAAUGUGCAAAUUUAUGAACUGUUUCAUAUUUUG
ensembl:snRNA U6 U6 spliceosomal RNA